GGGCGUUUAGCUCAGCUGGUCAGAGCGUACGAUUCACAUUCGUAAGGUCAGUGGUUCGAGCCCACUAACGCCCACCA
rnacentral:tRNA from 2 species